UGUCAAAAUCUACAAGUUGGAGCUAUUGGAACCCAACCUCUCAAGCCUUUCUCUCGCCACUGAUUGGAGCUCGGAUUUUCUAAACCGCACUUUAAGCCUCUCUCUCGUUGCUGCAGUGAGCUGUAGUGGCAGGUUGGAACCCAACCAGCAACAGCCACUCACAUCUACCUUUCUAUUCUCAUCAUUUUUGUACCAAUCUCACCCUUCUCGCCGUCUCUUCUCCUCUCGUCACCUUUCAGAUUACUGGUCAAUCACUGAUCCCAUCUUCCAUCUCUAUCACCCAUUGAGUAGAAUCACUGGUAGUAAGGUCAGUUAAGGCGUUCCAAAGCGACAUUAACUAAGUUGUUUUUCCCUCUACACCACCGUUUGAAUCAGUCAAAAUCUGAUAGUUCGAUAUAGUUAUUCGGCGACCAAUCUUCCGUUCAUUUGGCUUCUGUUUCGACAACACCCAACAACAUUCAACGCUUAUUUUAAGGCUACAUUGAGGGAUUGAUAGAAAAGGGGUAGGGUUUCCUACCUUUUUGCUUAGGCCCCUACGUCCAAUAGGGGGUUGGAUCGGAGGAUAAGGGAGCGUUCUUCAUAUCCCUCCUUAUUGUAAGAAAACACGGAUUCUUAGCUCUAAUUCGAAUUAAAGCAGAGAAGGGAAAUCUAGUAUUCGUACUGACUAGAGAGGGGUGCCUAACCCCUUUCCUCUCUCUUUCUCAACUUACCCAAAAUGGCCUUGUCCUUGCUGAUUGGUAUGGAGUUGUUAAUUCUAAAUGAUUUUGUAAAAUUUAAAUCCGGGAGACCCAACUGUUCGGCCAUGAAGUGAACGGCCGGUGAUUUUCUUGAUGAUCACAGAAUGGCAACUCCACUGGGGAAGCUGAGAACAGUGUGAACACCAUUUCUCUUAACGGUUCCACUUGUGGCAAUCGGUUUCAGCUUUUUAACAACAAUUUGGUAUCUGCUGGUUUUAAAUUCUUAGUGGUUUCCUUUUAUUUGGUUUUGCAAAAUAUCCAAAAAAAGAGAAGAUAUAAAGUAAUUCCGUUUGUUUC